GGGAGCGACCUCUCGCUCCGCCCGCUGCGCAGGCGCGGGGGAGAGCCACGGGCCCCCGAGGAGCUGGGCCUGGCUGGAGGACGCGGGGCGGGGCCCAGGACUCAGGGAGGCCAGACUCCGACGCCUCGGGCUGUGGCAGAAUCAUUUGAGCCCCAGGUUCAGUCACUCCUCCCCUUAGGCUACAGGAGGGACCUUCAGGCGCUCCCGGAUAUCAAUAGGUUGUUGUCCUUAGAAAGCAUGCUCACAACCAUAGGCGCUGACUCCAGAGGCUGGAGCACCCACGGGGAAAAAUUGGAAGAAUUUCUUGCAAUCAAGCACCCUUUCUAAGACAUUGAUCUUUUAUGACAGAAAAAUAGAUAUACAUGUGUUCAUUUAAAAUAAAUUCCAAAAGAAAAUGCAGUACAUAUAAGCUGAGUGCCCAAACUGGACUGGCCAGCUCUGUUUAUUGCUUUCUGAUACAACAGUUUAUGAAAGUUCAGAUAUUUACUCCAGCUGCAAGGGUUAAUAUAGACACAUAUCUUCCAGUAAUGUCCAUGGUACACAUUUGCCUUACUAUUUAGUGUUAUUCUUCACUUUGAUGAAGUUAGUUUUUUUACAAAACAACAAUCUGGUAUAUUUAGGUGUUUACUCCCAUAUGAAAGAUUCAACAACAUAACACUAAAUUCUAGACAAUAUAGUGAUCACAGGUCCAAACUAGCUCCAAUAAAGUCAGUGGCAAGACUCUCAUUGACUUCAGCAGGAAUUGGAUCAGACCUUCAGAGAAUAAGGCAAUGAUGCUGAUCUUUGUUCAGUUUGGGGAAAAUAUAAUAGUGUUUGAAUGGACUUUCACACAGCUAUGACUACAUGUAAACACCCACAAAAAUCAAAAUUUAUUUUCACAGCAGA